rnacentral:misc_RNA from 1 species
UUCUUACGGGUCAAUUCGGUCGAUUCUCGUACGUCGGUAGUAACGCGUAUGACGUGCAUUACGCCAGAUAUACACACACGUUAUAUUCAGCAUCGAGUCGGAGUCGACCCGGACGGGUAUCUCCCCCUAGGGGAGGGGCGUCCAGCGGUAAUUCUGCGCAAUUACCCCCAGCUCAUUCCUCUGGGCUUUUAGAAGGCAGCAGUUAUUCGUUCUCCGCAGGUUACUACCAGCCAUAUACAGCCCUCCUCCGUUCCUUCCCUUCAUCGAUACGCGAUUGUAACGUUUCGCUUCUGUGUGCAGGUUCCCGAUUAAAUUCACGAAGGAUGACUCUGAUUACUCCCAGUUUUCGAUCGGAUGAGAUCAUCGACGACGUUGUACUAUCUCAAUUCUCACGUGGAGCUUGGACAGUUUUAUCGUAUACGGGCUGCAGUUGGAGAGAUGAUCGAAAAAGCUGAAUCCGGAGCGAAAGUUCUGAUGGGAUGAAAAAAAAAAAACCAAAAAACAAAAGGACAGCAUUCGAAAGGGGAAGGAAAAAUAGUAGAAUCGCAUUUAUGAUCUCAAGAUAAAAUGAGACCUGUCGCUGCAUCAGUUGCAGGAGCCGGUUGAUCCGAAUAUAGGUUGCAUGUCUCCGAAACGUUAGGAACAACAACACGUGAACACACACACACACACACACAGACACAUACCUGUACAUCUACGUACAGAUCGAAUAGCCUAUACAUUAUAAAUAGCCAAUAGACAUCCAAUAUCGAAUUGUAGAGACACGUAUAGACACUUUGCGAAGCAAGAUAAUUCCGCCAGCCCACACCGUAUAGGUUCCGUACGUAUACAUAUCGUCCUGGAAAAAAAAAAUAUAUAUAUAUAUAUAUAUAAUACAUAAUCUAUCGGUAUUGCUGUAAAAUAAAAUUGUAACACGACUAUGAUACGAGGGUAGGAAAGACACAGGUAUACGUGUACGAAUACUUGUACAAGUUCAAUCCUAUUUUCAGUUUUUACACUCACCUUUAGAAGUGUACUCGUCGUAUACGUACAUAGGCGAGUGGUAUAUAACAAUCAGAUAUCAACCACGCGAGGCGCAAAUGCAAGGUGAUAACGGAAUUGUGAUCUCCGGAGAUAAAAUAAACAACGCGGGGAUAUGGAUAUAUGUAUCCUUAUGUACAACUUUACACCGUGUAUAUAAAUAUACUCAUGUAUUCGUAUCUACUGCCAGGUCGAGAUGUGCGUCUGUAUGUGUUACACCUAUUCCGGUAUCGAUUAUGAGAUGAUAUACCUGCGCGCAGGUGUCCUUGUGACCAACCGAGUGCGUUAUUGUAAAGUCGGGUUUAAUUCGUCCCGCGAAUCACGAACGCGAAAAAGAAAAAAAAAAAAACAAUUU